AAUACAUGCAAGUCGCGCGAGAAAGUCACCUUCGGGUGGUGAGUAAAGCGGCGAACGGGUGAGUAACACGUAAGAAACCUGCCCCUAAAUCCGGAAUAACAUUGCUAACGCGGUGCUAAUACCGGAUGUGGUCUCCAGUUUGCAUGAACAGGAGAUUAAAGGUGACCUCUACUUGUAAGUUAUCGUUUAGGGAUGGUCUUGCGGACCAUUAGCUUGUUGGCGGGGUAACGGCCCACCAAUGCUGCGAUGGUUAGCCGGCUUAAGAGGGUGAUCGGCCACAUUGGGACUGAGAUACGGCCCAGACUCCUACGGGAGGCAGCAGUAGGGAAUUUUGCGCAAUGGACGAAAGUCUGACGCAGCAACGCCGCGUGAGCGAUGAAGGUUUUCGGAUUGUAAAGCUCUGUUGAGUGGGAAGAAAACUCUCCGGGAUAAUACCCCGGAGACUUGACGGUACCACUCGAGGAAGCCCCGGCUAAAUACGUGCCAGCAGCCGCGGUAAUACGUAUGGGGCAAGCGUUGUUCGGAAUCACUGGGCGUAAAGGAAGUGUAGGCGGAAAGGUAAGUUAGAAGUGUAAUCCACGGGCUUAACCCGUGACUCGCUUUUAAUACUGUCGGUCUUGAGUAUGGGAGAGGGAGAUGGAAUUCCAGGUGUAGCGGUGGAAUGCGUAGAUAUCUGGAAGAACACCAGUUGCGAAGGCGGUCUCCUGGACCAAUACUGACGCUGAUGCUCGAAAGCUGGGGGAGCGAACAGGAUUAGAUACCCUGGUAGUCCCAGCCGUAAACGAUGGACACUAGUUGCCGGAGGAGUCAAUCCCUUCGGUGACGAAGCUAACGCAUUAAGUGUCCCGCCUGGGGAGUACGCUCGCAAGGGUGAAACUCAAAGGACUUGACGGGGGCCCGUACAAGCGGUGGAGCAUGUGCUUUAAUUCGAUGCAACGCGAAGAACCUUACCUGGGUUUGACAUGGGGGUGAAAGUUUCCAGAGAUGGAAGCCUUUCCUUCGGGUACACCCCACACAGGUGCUGCAUGGUUGUCGUCAGCUCGUGUCGUGAGAUGUUGGGUUAAGUCCCGUUACGAGCGCAACCCCUGCCCUUAGUUGCCAUCAGGUAUAGCUGGGAACUCUAAGGGGACAGCUUGGUAUAACCAGGAGGAAGGUGGGGAUGUACGUCAAAUCAUCAUGGCUCUUACGCCCAGGGCUAGACACGUGCUACAAUGGCAGGUACAGUGGGAUGCCAGCCUGCGAAGGUGAGCUAAUCCCGUAAAACCUGUCUCAGUCCGGAUUGGAGUCUGCAACUCGACUCCAUGAAGUUGGAAUCGCUAGUAAGUCGCGGAUCAGCAUGCCGCGGUGAUACGUUCCCGGGCCUUGUACACACCGCCCGUCAAGCCAUGAAAGGCGGUAGUACCCGAAGUCGCGUACCCAACCGUAAGGAGGGAAGCGCCGAAGGU
rnacentral:rRNA from 1 species